rnacentral:lncRNA from 1 species
AGAAAAGCCCUUAACCACACUGUAGUGUCCAACCAACUCAGGGCCUGAGUGGGAGUCAAGCCAUUAGCUGCAAUGAAUAGAGGAGGAGGAAGAGGCUGGAAGGUCAUUUAGUAUGCUCAGUUGUGGCUGACACACUGCAAGACCCUGAGUGAUUCACUUAAUCUUUCUGAACUUUACUUUCAUCAGUGAAACAGUCAAUAAAGAUAUCUACCUCAUAGGU